rnacentral:rRNA from 1 species
GAUGAACGCUGGCGGCGUGCCUAAUACAUGCAAGUCGAGCGAACGGACGAGAAGCUUGCUUCUCUGAUGUUAGCGGCGGACGGGUGAGUAACACGUGGAUAACCUACCUAUAAGACUGGGAUAACUUCGGGAAACCGGAGCUAAUACCGGAUAAUAUUUUGAACCGCAUGGUUCAAAAGUGAAAGACGGUCUUGCUGUCACUUAUAGAUGGAUCCGCGCUGCAUUAGCUAGUUGGUAAGGUAACGGCUUACCAAGGCAACGAUGCAUAGCCGACCGGGGGGGGGGUUGGCCCAACCAGGAACUGGGCACCGGCCCAGAGCCCAAGGGGAGGCCGAGAGGGGAAAGUUGCCGCAAGGGGGGAAACCCUGACGGAGGAACGGCCGGGGGGGGAAGAAGGGCUGCGGACGGUAAAACGUUUUUUUUGGGGAAAAACAAUUUUGUAAGUAACGGGGCACAACUGACGGGAACCGAUAAAGAAACCCCGGCCUAAUUCGGG